rnacentral:rRNA from 1 species
AGUUUGAUCCUGGCUCAGGACGAACGCUGGCGGCAGGCUUAACACAUGCAAGUCGUACGAGAAAGUUCCUUCGGGAAUGAGUAAAGUGGCGAACGGGUGCGUAACGCGUGACCAACCUGCCCUUAAGAGGAGAACAACUACGGGAAACUGUAGCUAAUGCUCCAUAACGUCUGGACUCCACCUGGAAACCAGAUCAAAGCUUUAUGCGCUUAAGGAUGGGGUCGCGUCGGAUUAGCUCGUUGGUGAGGUAACGGCUCACCAAGGCAACAAUCCGUAGCUGGUCUGAGAGGAUGAUCAGCCACACUGGCACUGAGACACGGGCCAGACUCCUACGGGAGGCAGCAGUGGGGAAUCUUAGGCAAUGGGGGAAACCCUGACCUAGCCAUGCCGCGUGGAGGAAGACACCCCUAUGGGGCGUAAACUCCUUUUCUACCGGAAGAAAACCCCGUUUUGCGGGGCGUGACGGUACGGUAGGAAUAAGCACCGGCUAACUCCGUGCCAGCAGCCGCGGUAAUACGGAGGGUGCAAGCGUUGUCCGGAAUCACUGGGCGUAAAGGGUGUGUAGGUGGGAUAGCAAGUCAGAGGUGAAAGCCUGCGGCUUAACCGUA